rnacentral:rRNA from 1 species
GAAAGAGACAACCAGCACACGGGGGAUGCCUCGGGUGCGGAUGGGGCGAAGAAGGUCGUGGCACGCCACGAAA